UUUCUCACGUUUACACUUCCAUGUGCUUGCUCCAGUCUUGAGUUUUUCCCUCGAUUGUCAACGGCGUUUAUCUGUUAAGUUAGUCUUUUAGAGUUAGCAGAAACCUGCUUUUAAAUGUAUUAACUGAAUCUUCGAGCUUCAUCCUGACCAGUUUUGGAUUGAAGCAGAGUUCACUCGCUUAACAUCUAAGGACCUCAUGAAGUCUUUUCUCUCAGGGUUGGAUCAGUAUGUACCCAGGUUCCUUCAGAUGUUUAGAGCCAAGUUGAGCAGCAUUUUCAGAACUGAAAAGCCUUCUAUGCAAGAUUGACCGUGAUACCCAAAAUGUGUCCAAAUAUCAGCUUUUAAGGCUUUGCACAGGCUCCUACUCUUCUUCUGCCUAUAAUUCCAUGUCAAUGAAAAGGGCCGUUGUUCUUCAAGGCCUUCCACAUUACCUCGGCGAGGAUCCAUCAGAUUUCUUCAAGUCAGCUGAGGAAACUGACAUUGAAGACGGUGUGAUGGUGGGAAUGGAUGUGGGCAUUCUCAUAAUGCCUGAUGAAGAUGAUGCCUUUGACUACUACGUGGUAGUGGAGGAACAAGUUGUCCUGAGUGAUGCCAAAGACCUCCCUCAUGCUGUGGCUCAACUAGUCGUACUGAUUUUUGCGCUUAACAUUGAUUAUCCCAAAAAACUACGCUACACAUUUGAGGUAAUUCAGAAGAUUUUAAUUGACCUUGGAGGUGAUCACUGUUUCGUGACGGUGCAUGGACUGAAAAAUAGAAUCUUUCGCAAAACUGUUUAGCAUUUUAACUGAAAGGUAUACGUUCUGUGCCUUUUUGUUUUUGGUCAUGAUUUAUUGGUGAAUUUCUGGUUGUUUUAAAACAAAGAAUGUUAAAUGAUUUUUUUUCUUAAUGUGGUUCUUUAUGCAGUGACAAUUUAUGUAACUUAAAGGGUUAGUUCACCCAAAUAAAAAAUUUAUGUAAUUAAUAACUUACCCUCAUGUCGUUCCAAACCCGUGAGACCUCAGUUUAUCUUCGGGACACAG